rnacentral:rRNA from 1 species
AGAGUUUGAUCAUGGCUCAGAAUCAACGCUGGCGGCGCGCCUAACACAUGCAAGUCGAACGAGAAAGCAGGAGCAAUCUUGUGAGUAAAGUUGCGUACGGGUGAGUAACACGUGGAUUAUCUACCCUCUUGUGGGGGAUAACCCUGGGAAACCGGGGCUAAUACCGCAUAAGCUCGAGAGAGGAAAGCAGCAAUGCGCAGGAGGAGGAGUCCGCGGCCGAUUAGCUAGUUGGUAGGGUAAAAGCCUACCAAGGCUACGAUCGGUAGCCGGCCUGAGAGGGCACACGGCCACACUGGCACUGAAACACGGGCCAGACUCCUACGGGAGGCAGCAGUGGGGAAUCUUGCACAAUGGGGGCAACCCUGAUGCAGCGACGCCGCGUGAGCGAUGAAGCCCUUCGGGGUGUAAAGCUCUUUCGGCAGGGAAGAUUAUGACGGUACCUGCAGAAGCAGCUGCGGCUAACUACGUGCCAGCAGCCGCGGUAAUACGUAGGCAGCAAGCGUUGUUCGGAGUUACUGGGCGUAAAGGGUGUGUAGGCGGUUCUCUAAGUCUGGUGUGAAAUCUCCCGGCUCAACUGGGAGGGUGCGCCGAAAACUGGAGGACUAGAGUGCGGGAUGGGAGAGUGGAAUUCCUGGUGUAGCGGUGAAAUGCGUAGAUAUCAGGAGGAACACCUGUGGUGUAGACGGCUCUCUGGACCGCAACUGACGCUGAGACACGAAAGCGUGGGUAGCAAACAGGAUUAGAUACCCUAGUAGUCC